rnacentral:rRNA from 1 species
CACGUAGGGUGCGAGCGUUGUCCGGAAUUAUUGGGCGUAAAGAGCUCGUAGGCGGUGUGUCGCGUCGGCCGUGAAAACCUGCAGCUUAACUGUGGGCUUGCGGUCGAUACGGGCAUCACUGGAGUUCGGCAGGGGAGACUGGAAUUCCUGGUGUAGCGGUGAAAUGCGCAGAUAUCAGGAGGAACACCGGUGGCGAAGGCGGGUCUCUGGGCCGAUACUGACGCUGAGGAGCGAAAGCAU